rnacentral:rRNA from 1 species
CAGUCUGCGUGGAGCCGACCUUGAAAUACCACCCUUUAAUGUUUGAUGUUCUAACGUGGACCCGUAAUCCGGGUUGCGGACAGUGUCUGGUGGGUAGUUUGACUGGGGCGGUCUCCUCCUAAAGAGUAACGGAGGAGCACGAAGGUUGGCUAAUCCUGGUCGGACAUCAGGAGGUUAGUGCAAUGGCAUAAGCCAGCUUGACUGCGAGCGUGACGGCGCGAGCAGGUGCGAAAGCAGGUCAUAGUGAUCCGGUGGUUCUGAAUGGAAGGGCCAUCGCUCAACGGAUAAAAGGUACUCCGGGGAUAACAGGCUGAUACCGCCCAAGAGUUCAUAUCGACGGCGGUGUUUGGCACCUCGAUGUCGGCUCAUCACAUCCUGGGGCUGAAGUAGGUCCCAAGGGUAUGGCUGUUCGCCAUUUAAAGUGGUACGCGAGCUGGGUUUAGAACGUCGUGAGACAGUUCGGUCCCUAUCUGCCGUGGGCGCUGGAGAACUGAGGGGGGCUGCUCCUAGUACGAGAGGACCGGAGUGGACGCAUCACUGGUGUUCGGGUUGUCAUGCCAAUGGCACUGCCCGGUAGCUAAAUGCGGAAGAGAUAAGUGCUGAAAGCAUCUAAGCACGAAACUUGCCCCGAG